AUUGAACGCUGCGGCAGGCUUAACACAUGCAAGUCGAGCGAGCGGCGGACGGGUGAGUAAUGCUUAGGAAUCUGCCUAUUAGUGGGGGACAACAUCUCGAAAGGGAUGCUAAUACCGCAUACUAAUAGAUUAGCCUAAGUCGGAUUAGCUAGUGGGUGGGGUAAAGGCCUACCAAGGCGACGAUCUGUAGCGGGUCUGAGAGGAUGAUCCGCCACACUGGGACUGAGAAAAGGCUCAGACUCCUUAGGGAGGGAGGAGGUGGGAAGUUUGGACAAUGGGGGGAACCCUGAUCCAGCCAUGCCGCGUGUGUGAAGAAGGCCUUAUGGGUGUAAAGCACUUUAAGGGAGGAGGCGUUACUCGCAGAAUAAGCACCGGCUAACUCUGUGCCAGCAGCCGCGGUAAUUC
rnacentral:rRNA from 1 species